rnacentral:rRNA from 1 species
CCCUACGGGGGGCAGCAGUGAGGAAUAUUGGUCAAUGGGCGGGAGCCUGAACCAGCCAAGUCGCGUGAGGGAAGACGGUCCUAUGGAUUGUAAACCUCUUUUGUCGGGGAGCAAAGAGGCCACGUGUGGUCAAAAGCGAGAGUACCCGAAGAAAAAGCAUCGGCUAACUCCGUGCCAGCAGCCGCGGUAAUACGGAGGAUGCGAGCGUUAUCCGGAUUUAUUGGGUUUAAAGGGUGCGUAGGCGGAAUGCCAAGUCAGCGGUAAAAUCGCGGGGCUCAACCUCGCUCCGCCGUUGAAACUGGCGU